GCCAUGAAGCCGGUAUGUAUUAUGUACAGUCACUGCAUUGAUUCCCGCCUGUACAAUGACACUCCACAGAAUGGGAGUCACAUUUGUGUUAAUCAGACUCUUCAGGAACGUCCUGAUGUCCGUGACAGAGACGCAACUGUGUCUGCAUCCAGGACCUACUGCCAGUCAUCCAGAUGUAGCUAAAGAAAGAAGCAGCUGAUGGAGGAAGGCAGAGAGUACUGGCAGCAGAGGAGGUGGCAUUCUGGGAGGAUGGCAGCUAUGAGGCGGUGUCAGGAUGGACCCCAAGUUCCUCCAACCAGGAGCUCAGUGACAUCAGGACUACAUUACAGGAAGAGACGUCAGGUCUAUGCUACAGGAGAGAUGUUGGGCCUGUCCUGAACGCAGCAUAAUUUGAUCAUGUUUGGACAAAAAAACACUGCCAGAUGGUCCAGAAAUGGACA